GAAGGUGGCAAGCGUUAUUCGGAUUUACUGGGCGUACAGGGAGCGUAGGCGGUUCGGUAAGCCCUCUGUGAAAUCUUCAGGCUUAACUGGGAGGGUGCAGCGGAAACUAGAGUGCUAGAGGGUGGGAGAGGUAAGCGGAAUUCCUGGUGUAGCGGUGAAAUGCGUAGAUAUCAGGAGGAACACCUGUGGUGUAGACAGCUUACUGGACCACUUCUGACGCUGAGACACGAAAGCGUGGGUAGCAAACAGGAUUAGAUACCCUGGUAGUCCACGCCCUAAACGAUGCAUACUUGGUGUGAGCGAUUCAUUUCGUUCGUGCCGGAGCUAACGCGUUAAGUAUGCCGCCUGGGGAGUACGGUCGCAAGGCUG
rnacentral:rRNA from 1 species